rnacentral:rRNA from 1 species
GUGUCAGCCGCCGCGGUAAUACGUAGGGGGCAAGCGUUGUCCGGAAUUAUUGGGCGUAAAGCGCGCGCAGGCGGUACUUUAAGUCUGGUGUUUAAGCCCGAGGCUCAACCUCGGUUCGCACUGGAAACUGGAGUACUUGAGUGCAGGAGAGGAAAGCGGAAUUCCACGUGUAGCGGUGAAAUGCGUAGAGAUGUGGAGGAACACCAGUGGCGAAGGCGGCUUUCUGGACUGUAACUGACGCUGAGGCGCGAAAGCGUGGGGAGCAAACAGGAUUAGAUACCCUGGUAGUCCACGCCGUAAACGAUGAGUGCUAGGUGUUAGGGGUUUCGAUACCCUUGGUGCCGAAGUAAACACAAUAAGCACUCCGCCUGGGGAGUACGCUCGCAAGAGUGAA